ensembl:lncRNA
GGGCCACAGGGGGCUGGAGUACUGGUGACGGAGCAGGGGGCUCCGCCUUCAUCGGAGUUUCCCUCUGCGCGGAAGCAUGUUUCAGACACACAUGCACUAUCUGGGGGAGUCACAUGCGAGGAAAAGGGUCCCUUCACAGCCCCUCGGCCGCUGCUGAGGAAGAGCCGAGGCUGGCUGCCUGCAGAAUGCAUUUGCACGUCGCUCAGGGCCGGCGCCUGGCGGGGCACCGGGUCCUCGUGGGCAAGCUGUGGAAGGCUGAGUGGUGACAUGAGUGCUCUGGGUCAGGGGGAGCCCAGACUGCGCUGCUCUCCCCAUGCCUGCGGAGCCCUGGGGCGGGAGGCCCGGCCUGGCUCUGCUCUUGGACAAGGCCCGAAGCCUCUCCAGCCCUCCAUCUCCUCUGCCUUCCCUGCUCACCUGGCUGUUGCUCGAGGGUUAGUCAUGCACCUGAGGAGUUCCUGUGUUCUGUGGCCACGGUGUCUGAGCCCCUGUCUGGGACCCAUGGCCUGACAAAGACAAAUGUGAUUCAAUUAGGGGCCAUGCUGAAAACUCAGGGGCUGAAGCUGACGUGUCCAUGUGGUGUUGACUGAGGGAAAACAAGAAGUCCUGUAUUCUUCCCCGAGAGCCUUACGCGCAGUAGGGCCCCCGUCCAUCAAACCCCAGGGACCUGGAUGGGCCGUGUCGGCUGAAGAACUGAGGAGUGGUGGAAGGAGCCCAUCUUUUAGGUCAGCUUUCUCUCAUCUCGGGAUGAUAGGGAGCCUGUGGACCCUUUUCAGAACAAUGUUUUCAGAAGCCUAGGAUAAAAAACCAAAGGAUUACAAAGUAAACCAAUGAUAUUGAAAUAGUUAUACAAAUCGUGCUAGAGCUGUAUGUGUGUUUCAUUGCUAACACGCGAACUAGCAAGAUCUAGUGGCAGGUCGUGAUGACCGCCAUUUGGAAGACGUGAGGAGCAGGAGCAGAAUUUCGAAAUAACUGUCAGAACUGUGGUGCAGUGUGCAAACAGGGACGUUUGUAAGCCCAUGAUCCCGGGCGCCGUAACAGCGUUUGUGGCCCACAUUCGUCAUGGGAGGAAACGCUCAACUUCAGGUGGGGCUGAGGAAGACAGAAGAUGUGCUUUUUGGCGCCGCGGAGGCCCGGUUCGGAGCCCCUGUUCCGGUGCCUUGUGCGUCUGUUACUAGCUGGUGAACUGAACAGGUCCAUCCAAAAUCUGCCCUUUCAGGCCCUGCUCAAAUGCUGCUUCCUGCCUGAAGUCAACCUGGGUUGCUCCAGCCUGGCUUGUACUAGUUCUGGUGAACUCCAGUAGGGCAGAGCACACGAUUUGCUUUUGUUUCAAGCUCUGCACCGCUCAGAACUUGCUUCAUAUCUGUGAUCAGCUCAGAAGUUCCUCCAGCUGUUUCCAACAACUUACUGCUUCACGUGAAACUUCAUCCAGAUGAGGCUCAUAGAGGGCGUGACAAGUGCCUGAGGCCACAUAGUUGAUAAGAAACAUAGCCUGGAUUUGAACCCAGGGCUGUCUGAAGCCAGCCCUUAUGCCUUUCCGGUGAUAUGGUGCACAGGACCUUGGGGACAAGUCAGGAGAACAGAGGGAUGUGGAACAUUUGUUUCUAGAGUUGUCCACCAAUGUGUUUCCCUCACAACUGAGGAGGGAAGAUGUGUUUUGACAAGCAGAUAGCGGCCCGCACAAGACAAUGUCUGGACCCCAAGUGCCUGGGACAGAGCUCCAGAACCCCAGAAACUAGCGUGUCACAGAGGAGGCUGUGUCUCUUUGGAAUGGUCCAUUCUCAGCUCAGUCGUGUUGGAGAAGGAAUGAAAUAAUACUCCAGCAGACUCUGGAAAAAUCUGAGCUAGUUAGCAGAGUAUUGAAGCUGACUGAACAUCUCAUUACAGACGUACCAGGUGCUGUUGGCAGCCAUUUUGAGACCAUGAGAGGAAAUAGUAUUAAGAUGAAGCCAGCACUGCUGCUGACAGAGCAAGAAAUGAAAAGAACCUGAGUUGAGUGGCUGAAUCUACCAACACUGACCCUUGCCAUACCUCUGGGCUUCUGGUUCUGUGAAACAAUAAAUGCCAUGAUCAUUUAAGCGAGUCUGAGAGAGAGUUUCUGUUGCCCAGAGGAGAAAGCAUUCUGACACAGCUCUUUAGUAACUGAGGAGCAUUUGUUAUUACCAGCAGUAUGCCACCCACUAAGGGGAGAUAAACAACAGAGCCGUGGUAUACACAGUCCCUGCUCUUCAGAGUUCUCAGAUGUUUACUGGAGAGGUGAGAUGAGUACACAGAAGCACAAAGUAAGAAGUGUUAAGUUGUGAUGGAAGAUGCUCUAUGGCAGGGGUAGGACAACUCUUCUCAUAAAGGGUCAGAUAGAAAAUAGUCUGGUCUUUGUGGGCCAUAUGGUCUCUGCUGUGACUACUCAGCUCUGCCCUUGUAGCACAAAAGUAGCCAUAGACAAUAUGCAAAGGAAAGAGCAUGGCUGUGUUUCAAUAAAACUUUAUUUAAAAAAACAGAUGGGGGCUGGCCCCGUGGCCGAGUGGUUAAGUUCGUGCGCUCUGCUGCAGGCAGCCCAGUGUUUCGUUGGUUUGAAUCCUGGGCGCGGACAUGGCACUGCUCAUCAAACCACGCUGAGGCAGCGUCCCACAUGCCACAACCAGAAGGACCCACAACGAAGAAUAUACAACUAUGCACCGGGAGGCUUUGGGGAGAAAAAAGGAAAAAAUAAAAUCUUUAAAAAAAAACCAAAAAAACAAAAACAAAACAGAUGGCAGGCCAAUUGUCCUGUGGGCUACAGUUUGCUGGCCUCUGCUCUAGGGGUUUAUAGAAAGGAGACAUCUGUAGAGAUUUGGUCAUGGGAUGAUUCCUGGAAGAUAUGGAUGCUGGACAGACAGUGUGGACAUGGGUCAGCUGUACCUCUGUGUGCGCACCUUAAAAGAUCACGCCUUCCUACUGUCUGAUGUGAUUUCAGAAGAGAAAAAGCCAGGGUACAUAUCAUAACCACUCUUGACAGUUUCCCUGGAGAGCAAGCCAGUUCUGCAGCCCUUCUCCCCUGGUGCCCAGUGAUUAGCCACGAAAAGAUCAAACAUCAGGGGACUACACACGAAAAGACUUGCUGCCAGGUUGCCUCCCACCUGAAGGGCCAACGGUAGGUGUAGGCAUGUAGAAGCACAUAGCAGGCAGCCUAAGGGUUAUGGACAUGGGACUCUUCAAAUCAGAGUGUUGACACUAUGGUGCCCGGAUCCACCUGUGGGUCUCAUGUCAGCUGGGCUCUGGACUUCCCAAAAGUCGGAAGGCUCCUGGCCUUCACUUCCAGGAGGCAGCUUCUUGGAGAGCUUGGGCCACUUGGCUGGCUGAGAGAGCUGCCUCCUAAGGAUGGCCUUGAGGGUGGGUUGGAUUUGAAUAAGAGACAGGUAAGCCUGGGCAGGAGGGAACGAUGCUGUGAGCAGAGACUUGGGUGGACCCGCCAAAGUGUGUGAGUGGAAUCUUGACGGAUGACACCCCCACAGGCUACACUGGGGGCCUGUUCCCCUUGAUACCUUCAGAUAAGACCCUGAAGUCUAAUUUGAGGAACUGUCUAGGACCAUAACACCCUCAGUAUUGACCUGCAGGGAGAGCCUGGGAACUCAUAAACAAAUCUGAAGAGCAUUGAUGGGGUUUACCCGGCUUGUGGAUGAGGUCAGUGGGAGCAACAAUCCACCUUUUCUAAAUGCAGAGCAAGAAGUGUGAUGAGAACACCACAGGAGAGGGAAGAAAGGGAAAGGCCCUGGGAGACAGGGACCGUGGCUGGUGCCAGGCCAUUCAGAGAGCCCCAUGUCACACCUCAAGGAGCAGGGGAGGGUGGGUCCCUUUGAGGAGGCCGGAGUUUGCAGGGGAGGGAGAACCUUUCUGAGAAGGACAGCAUCAUUCUGAGCGUCAGCAUGCUCCCCACCCUCAAAGGCCACAGUUUAGGGGCUCAAAAAUAUUCUGCCCCUGUUUUCUUACUUCAGUGUGUAAACAAGAGGCAAUCUAGUUGGAGAGAGGAGAAAAAUAAACCAAACUGCUGAGUAAUAUCCUUUUGAAAAGAAAUAUGUAUUUUCCUAAGGACUGAAAGAACUUAUGGAAGAUUUAGAUGAGUAUUUUCUUAUUUUUAAAAGCUCAAGGGUUUUGGUGGAAUCUGUAUUGUUUUCUCAGGCUCCCAAACAGAUGAACAUAUGCACAGCUUCAGCUUGUGGUUCAGAGAGACAAAGGAAACCACAAAAAUAGCUUUCUAAUAAUUGUCCCCAAACAUGUCUAUCAGGGGCAGGUUGGUGCCAACUCCUGUUCGCUAAUCCUAACCUGCCCCGGCUGAUCCUGUUUCUGUUUACGCUCCUCCUCUGGCUUCCGAUGCGGCUGGCUUCCCCGGAGCUUUGUCUGCUCCAACAUCCCCAAUCUGCCCGGCUCUGCCACCACUGCUGGAGUUUCAGGCAAACCUUGCAUCUGGUUUCUCUUUGCUCCUUUCUCCUUUUGUCUUUGUUUACUUUCAUGAGGAGACGGUUGUUUUUAUUAGCCCCCCUCUGUUUUCUUUACGUUCUGCCAUUGUUUUCAUCUCUCCUUCAACUGUCCUCGUCUGUUCACAUACCUUCACUCUCCUGGGCUCUCCCAGACCUGGUUCCAAUAAGGGCGGUUGGGGUUUGUCUCAAGCUUGACUGGGGCCCUCAGAGUUGUGUGGCUUCCAUUUCGCAGCGUGAAGGUUUGUGUUUUAUUUUGCCCCUCUCUUUUAUUUGUAUUUCUCCAUGCGGGGAGAUUGGGUGUUUAUAAACUUUUCAGGAGAGCUUACUUUUGAAAUGAGAGAAUUGCUUCUGAAUUUCUCAGGCUGCAUGCUGAGACAGAUUAUCUGUGAAAUUCCUGUUGUAAUGACCGGCAGAUUUCCGAGCACUGCGUUUCCAAACGUGGCCUGCUCCUUGAGCUGUUGUGUCACCUUCUGCCUGUGCCUCUUUCUAGAGCAGAACGAAAAUGAAACAAGAAACACCUCAUCGGUGCCACACCUUUCUCCUUCAAACCUUCUUCUUUAAACUUAAUCAAGAAACAGCACAAAAGACCCACCAAGAUCAAAGAAAAUCGAGAAAUAGCACGAAAGAUCAAAACAUGCAAGAAAUAAAAAUUCUCAACGGUGUCACAAACAAUUCUUCACUACAUUAUUAAAAUAUUGCAGUUGUGUGAUACAGAUUGAGCCGUUAUUACUCUUAAUUCUUAUUGCUAACACUCUAGGGGCCAGCCCGGUGGUGCAGCAAUUAAGUGAGCACGUUCUGCUUCGGUGGCCCUGGGUUCGCAGGUUCGGAUCCCUGGUGUGGACAUGGCACCACUUGCCAAGCCAUGCUGCAGUAGGCGUCCCACAUAUAAAGUAGAGGAAGAUGGGCAUGGAUGUUAGCUCAGGGCCAGUCUUCCUCAGCAAAAAAGAGGAGGAUUGGCGGCAGAUGUUAGCUCAGGGCUAAUCUUCCUCAAAAAACCCCGCCAAAAACACUCUACAUCUUUGCUAUUCGAAGUGUGGUCCCUGGACCAGCAGCCUCAGCAUCCCCUGGGAACUGGUUAGAAAUGCAGAUUCAGGCUCCACCCCAGACGACUGAAUCAGACGCUGCAUUUUAAAAAGAUCCCUGGGUGCUUCCUGUGCACAUUAACAUUUGAGAAGUCCUGUUUUAAUAACCUUUAAAAACAAUAAAUGGAGCAUUCUACCAAGUAAAAAUCAACCAAGUCCUUACACAAUCGUAUGGACCAGCAUGAGGACUGUGGUCAGAAUAUCUAGUUUCAGCCUCUACUCACAGCUGACUCCCUGAGUCCGCUUGGCCUCAGUUUGGAUUUGCCACAUGGGGUGACAAGAAUUUCUGCCCGCUCCCCCAUCAGGGUGGAUGUAAGGUUUAUUUUUGGUAAAAAUUAAGUGAAACAAAUAAGUUAAUGGACUUUGUAAGGCACCAGCAAAUGUUAGCUAUUGCAGUUUACACACUGCUUCAUUUUAAUUUGGGGACAUCUUUGUUCUUCCUUUGCCGGAGCCAGCCUAAGGCAGAUAUCGGUUGCAAGGAGCCCCAGCAAUCAUGCAAUCAUGAUGUAUCAGGACAGGGACUAUCAGAACACCUCGUCCAUAAAUGGGGAUAAUGAUAUCUCCCACUUUAGGGGACACUUGCCAGUCUUUUGCCUUUGACCAGCGUCCAAAGGUCCUUCCUACAGUUGGGGAAGUUCGCCCCCAUACGGGCUGGUGGGAAGCAGGGCUGCUGCAAAGUCAGAAAGCCUAGAAGGUAGACUCUCGCUUCCCCCUGCUGGGCUGCAACCUCCACCUGCUGGUCCAGGGCAUUGGCACGUAGCCCAGGCUCAACCAAGCACACCCUUCUGCCCAGGACUUUGAAUCUGGGGCAUGUGACACAGAGACAUAGGGAUAGUGGAGGAUUAUAUAGCAGCAGCAGCUGCAGAGGUGGCAGCAGCAGCAUUUGCCGUUCAGGGGUGGCAGCAGCACCAGGCAGAUGCCCAUCCAGCGACGGCAACAGCUGUUCAUGGUUUAAACUCAAGUCCUGGCUUCCCCUGGCUCCUGCCCGUUUUCUGAACAUUGCUUGUAAUUCUCUGAGUUGCCCCAUAUCCUCUUGGUAAACUGCUUUCCUGCUGAAAUCAUCCAGAGAUGGUUUCUGUCACUUGCUACCAAGUAGCUUGAGUGAGAACUCCACCUACAUGACCGGCUGGUUCUGGGAAAGGAGGACACUGCAUGGCGGAGAGCACUCAGAAACGCCCCAUUCGUGGCAGCAAGAAUGAGCAAUGCAUCUACUUUGGCCUCACCUUGGUUAAGCCCCAUUCUUUGAUCAUUGGAUUAUAAGCUGUGGCUCCUACUGCCUCGUGCACAGCUGGCCAUCUUUACAUUCCCACGGAAAUGAGCCACGAAUCCUGGGUUCUCUUCUUUUGCCCUUGGUCAUGUGUCCAUAAUACUUCCUUUGCCCUUUGUGUCCUGUUUCCCUAAGGUCAAUGCUAAGAUCCAUCCCAUUCUUUUUUCUUAUCAGCAAAACCAAGGAUGACAAGUUCCCAGACAUCUCCCAGCAUUUCACCAAUUUACCCGUGAGUCAUCCGCUCCAGAGCUCUUUAGGACUAUCACUCAAUUUUUUUCUUGACCUCUCAAGAGGUGGUUACCAGAUUCCUUCUAUUAUCCCAAGAAAUUGAAUGUAAAACAAACAGAUUUCAUCAAGGCCAUAGUUUCUUGCUUGUGGUCAAAGCUAACGUGAGGGAUCCUGCUAGAACCCAGUGGGAUAAACCACGUGACUAACGUUAUUCCUUAGUUAGCCCGCGUCAAAAUCUGUCACCAAUAGCCUGAUUUCCCCGCUCCAUGUAUUUCCUUCCAGGCCAUGUGCUGGUGAUUACCAGUCUUGGGGGAGUUGAAAUACCUUGUCAUUAUUUCUUUGAUUCCAAGAUAUGCCUCCCUCCAACAGAAAAGGAAAAAAAUCACAGUGUGGCAUUUAUUUAUUUUCAAAAUGGAAGCAAAUGAAAAUUAACUUCGCGUUGGAAUCUUCUGAGAAUUCAGGUUUCUUUUAAAAUGGUGACAACUUGACAUUGUGAAACACCGCCUUAGAAACUCCAAAUUGUGUAAAAGAAACAGCUUCUUCAACAUUUGUUUCUUCUUGGUAAAUUUGCAGUUUUAUGCAAAGACAUUGAUUUAAUUUCUGACUUCUUCCUCAGUCCAACCUAUGCCUUGUGGAAGAAGAGCAUGAAAAGCUGUGAUCUUUCUGCUCCCUGGCAUUUGCCUGCUUUCUUUUGCCUUUUUCUUUUAAUAAUCCUGUGUUUCAACCUUCCCUUGCAAAAUGGAAAGAUGCCCACCUAAUACUGCCCACUUUUGGCUUCUUUUCUUUCCUCUCUCAUUAAAACACUUAGCUUAAAAAACCCGAACAAGCUGUGUUCCAGAGAAAGUCCUGAGCAUGUGCCCUGGGAAACCUGCAGCUGACAGCAUUGCUGGUAAUAGCUAAAGCCUGGAAACUGCCACCUUCCUUGACGGGAGAAUGGACAAAACAUUGAGAGAUAUUGUUCAGUCAAUGGAGCAUUAUACAAUAGUGAAAAUACAUCUACCUAUAAUAACAUGGAGAAAUCUUAGAGACACCGGCAGUGAACGAGAAAAGCAGAUUGCAGAGGACUGUUUACUAUGUAUUUAUAAAUCUCUAUCAUCUAUCUAUCUAUCUAUCUAUUAUCUAUCCGUCUAUUAUCUAUCAAUCUAUCUAACUAUCAUCUAUUAUCUGUCUAUCAUCUAUCUAUCUAUCUAUCUAUCUAAUUUUAUUUUCUUUUUUGGUAAAGCUCAAAAACUAAAAGAACCCAGGCAAAAAGUAAACCAUACAUUACUUGUGGGUAGCAUGGAGGCGAUUUCUACUGCCACCCCUACCCUGUUCUCCUUUCCUCCUGGGCACAUGGAAAGACUCUCCCUUGCAGUGGAGUGAGGCCAUGUGACUAGUUCUGCCAACAAGUUGUGAGUGAAAGGGGCACUCCUGGGCGAAGCAUUAAUUGAUGCUGGGGGAGCCUCAUAUUUAGAUGGUGGUACUGAAAACUCAAAGCAUCCUGGACUGUGGAGGUGCCACAUGCAGGACAGUUGUCCUAGAGAGCCAGCUGGACCUGCAGUAGAUUUCGCUUGAGCAGGAGACAAACCUUUGAUGCUGUGUUAAACAGUUGAGAUUUUAGGCCCCUUUGUGACUGCAGCAUGACCUAGCCUGCCCUGGCCAGGGCAGAUGCACACCAAAGCUACAAGGAAGGUGAGAAAAAUAACGAUCCACCCCCAGUUCAGGACAUGGUUACUCCUAGGGGAAGGCAAAUGGCUUGGGAGCAGGAAAGAACACACGUGAGAUGCAAGAGUGAAGAUGUUCUGGUUCUGAAGUUGGGCGAUGGGUACAUAGGUGAUCAUUUUAUAAUGAUGCUUUAUAAUUUACAUAUGUUAAUGUAAGUGUCAAACGUUACAUAGUAGAAAAAAUAUAAAAUGCUUUAAAACAGUCUAAAACCUAAGCAGCAUUAAAGGCAGAAUCUAUGUGGCAGGUAAAUAGGGGGUCACUGUAAAAUUCUCUCAACUUUACUGCGUGGUUGAAAAUUUUCAUAAUAAACUGUUGGCUAAAAACCCUGAAUGGCUAACAGUUACAUUAAGAACUUUAAAAAAAGGUCAAGCACCCCAACACAGCAACUAUUUUUAUUUUUUUGAGCCCUUAUCUCUAGGAAUACAGUAUUUUCAUAGCUGUGGUCAUAGUAUACAUAGUAUUUUAUGGCUUGCUUUUUUAUUUAACAUUUUAUUGUCAGCGUUUCCCCAGCAUGUACGCUUUGUCCGUGAGUGCGUUCACGUUUGGGGAACUCCUUCUAUCCCAUGUAAAUGUGGGUAGUCUCUUCAAACCUCAGUCAUACUCCAAGAGCUGAAGACACUUUUUAAGCCUGUAGUAAGAAUAAUCAGACAUUCAAUACACACUGCUCCUUCUAGAGUCUCCUUAGGAGAUGCUGUAUCUGUCUACCAACUACUAUUUUCUCUAGAUAAAAGGGAGCUUUUUGAGUUUAAGACAUACUGGGCAAGUAAUAGCAUUCUCCAAAUCAUUGCUGCGUGCCUACCGUGUUACCUUUCUUCUGUUAGCUUUCCUUCUGGACUUUUCUCCUUUAGCCUCUCUGCUACUUCUGUCUCACUCUCAUCUCAAAAACAGUCCUGAAUUAAAAUUUCAGUGGAUAUAAACUAACAACCUGCUUAAAAACCCAUGUGUUUGGAAGCAUACAUCACUUAUUUUUUCCUGGUUAAAAAAUUAUUCAUGUUCUUGGUAGUUAAUUUAGGAACUACAUAGAAAUGCAAUCCACCUCUCUUUCCACUGCCCGGAACUCGACUGUUGCUGAUACGCUAGUCUUUCAAAGAAGUGUACAUGUUUUAACAGUCUCUCUGCCUGAAGGCAAAGUGUUAAAAACAAAACUGUUCUACAUGUUCAAUUUCUACCGUAUGCCUGGAUGUCCACAGCCCAGAUGAAUUUUACACCGGCGCUGUAUGGCCCAUCACUUUUUAUCCACCCGGUAGCUGUAAGAAGCAGCCUUCCCAGCCAUCAUUAAGAGAUGAUUUAAUACGUCGUCAAGUAUUUAAGAGGCUCCUCCACUCGGAAUAGCAAACAGCUGUUCACCAUCUCCGGCGAGCCCGGAGCCAGAGGAAGGAGACUAAGCAACUGGGGCUGUGGGCAUCUUCUGGCCCUGCAUGGGAGGGCAGGCAGUUGCUGGAGGGUCCCCGCCAAAACCCACUCCCUGUGUCACCUGGACUGUCCAUUUACCUGAGGCUUGGGUAUUUUGGCUUGAAACUAUGGAAUUCCCUCUCUCUCUUUCUCUCUUUCUGUCUCUGUCCCUUUCUCUGACUUUUCGGGACCACGUGGUUGGUAGUUUACAGUGGGAGGGCCAGGGGUUGUCCAGUUCUUUGUAGGUCUUUGAAAUUAGCAUGUGUUCUCAUCUGAAGGGCUUAAGUGUGGUCUUGCCAAAAGGAAGUGGGAUGGAUUUUGUGACCUCUGGGGGUUCAGUCCACACACAUCUGACUUUGCCACUUCUGCCCUCAGCUUCCUUUCCCAGAAUUCAAUUCUCCUCUGUUGAGCUUCUGUUGGCCGCCAUCUUGCCCACUAGUCCUCCAGUCCUUGCCACCUCUCUGGGAGAAGGGCUGGGUCUCUUGCUCUACCUGUUGGAGGAGUGGAAAGAGCCUCUGGCCUGGGGCAGUUUGUGUCUGUUUAGCCCACUAACCUUUGGAAAUGCCUGCCGUGUGCUCUACUUGGCCCCAGGGCUUGGGAUGGUAGCUGACAGCGUGAAAAUCACAGAGUGGGGAACUCUGAGGCAACCUUUCUGAUAUCAUAGCAACCUGUCUGAUAUUACAGAUGAAGAAGCCAAGGCCAGUGAGGCCACAUCACUAGCUAAAGUCAUUGUAAAAGAGAAACAUAAGAAGAGUUGUUGCCCUAAAGAAUUUUAUCAUCCAAAUCCAUACUAUGCAUGUCUCAAUGGCCAUACUACAUACUCAUUUGGAGCUGAAAGAUUUUAGAAGACUAUGAGGCAACAUAGGCAGGCAUUUCAUGUAAAUAGAGGCCCAAAGCCAUAAAAACCCAAGCUGAAAUAAAUGUGAUGAGAAGGAAUUCCAUGUAAGGGGAUAUAUAUGUGUUAUGUACCCAAUUCGUACCCUGUGGUCCUCACUUCAAUAUGCACCAAGAGCAUUCUACCACUUUCUACUGCAAGCACUGACUGAACGUUCUUUCUUAGCCUGCCUGUGCAGCAGAUUGGAAAUUCCUAGGAGUUUGUGGGCCCAGGAGCUCCCUCAGCCAAUGAGAGACGGGAGUCGGAGAACAAAUGCUCCAGCUCUCUCACCCCUAACGUGGGUAACUCUGAGGUGUGUUCUGCAGUCUCCCAGAAUUCCCCUGUGGGACCGGGCCCCCCAUUGUUACCCAGUUGCCCCUUGUGGUAACAUGCAUAGCCACACUCCCUUCACUGGCUUCUUUUCUCCUCUGCCUCGCUUCCCCACUCCCCUGCCCAAGUUUACUGGGAUCCCCUUCCAAUUAAACUCCGGAUGCUUGAAUCCUCCUUCUAGAGCAGCCUCUUAGGGAACCCAGACUAACUCAGGGGGUGUUGUCACCUGUUGUCCUCAUUGAGUGUUUGCCCAGGACUGUGGCUCCACAGGAGAAAUGGUUGCUACCACACAGGACUCAAAGUGAAAACCUAUGGAAGAUGGUUUGGGUGUCUACUCUCAGCCAAAAAAACUGGGCAGGUGCCCACACGCUCCUGUGUGUACAUGACCUCGUCCAGCUGUCCUUGCAAAGAGGCAAGAGUGGGCGGGUAAGGAAGCAUUUACGGAGCAUGUGCUCCAUGCCAGGCUAUGCUAGGUAGCCAUCCGCAUGAACCGUGUGAGAUAGAUAAUUAUCUUUAACCCCAUUUUACAGAUGGGAAAAGUGAGGCUAAGCAACUUGCUGACCGUUGCCAGUAAGCGUAGAGCUCAGAUUGGAAUCCUGUCUGACUCCAAAUCCUGGGGCUUUUCUAUGCUCUCAUGCUGCAGCCUAGAGCUUACAAUAUACCCAUCAACCAUGACCCUGGGCUUGGGAUGUCCUGCUGCUGGCAUUGGCAUUCUUAACUACAUCAUCAGCCCAUAAACACUGCUCCCCUCCCCCUUCCAAAACAAGCCCCCACUGCAGUGACCCUGCACUCCCCUUCCACACACAUGGGCCCCAAGCUGCUCUUUGGGGCUCAUUUCUUUUCUUCUUUGUUUCACUUAAACCUCAUGCAUCAUGUGUGCAAAUAUUCAGAAGCAGGAAACGAGGAGGGGUGGAGGCGAAGGCCCCCAAACUCUCCUCGGGGGGACCCUGGUCAUUAGCUGGACUUUGGUUGCCUCCAAACGUGCCUGUGAUGUAACUGUGAGGGUACAGAGCAUUAGUGUCGCCUGUGCUGGUCAGAGGGUGGGGUCGGUGGCUGGACAUUGGCUGACCCGGCUGUCUGCCUGUCUCCCCUGCAGUCACAUCUGCCUUGUUUUAUGGCGAUGUCGUCUGAGUCUCAUUUCUCCUCAAGCUCCUUGAGGGCAGGGGCUGCGUCUACUUCACUUUUGGGCCACCAAAAAAUCCAGAAUAUUCCAUUAGCAACAAUAGACAUCUACUGAAUGAACAAUGUGACUAUUUUCUAGAACCAAGUUUCAUGAGCAUGUGCUUUUUUGGGACUAAGUUGUAGGUUGCUAUUAAAUUUUUCUUGACUAUUUGUUAUGAAAAUGUUCAAACUAACAAAAAAGUGUAGUGGAUACUUUGAAUAUAGUGAAUAGCAUAGUGAAUGCCCUUAUGCCCCUAUGCCUAGAUUUAACAAUAUCAUUUGCCAUAUUUGAGGUAGCUCCCAGAACCAAAGUUUCUUUUUUUUUUUUUAAAGAUUGGCAUCUGAGCUAACAACUGUUGCCAGUCUUUUUUUGUGCUCUUUCUCCUCAAAUCCCCCCAGGCAUGUGGGACGCCGCCUCAACAUGGCCUGAUGAGCGGUGCCAUGUCCGCGCCCAGGAUCCGAACCAGCGAAACCCUGGGCCGCGGAAGCAGAGCGCAGGAACUUAACCACUUGGCCAUGGGGCCGUGACCCCCAAGUCUCUUAUCUGCUCCAAUUGCAAUAAUGCUAUUGUCUUGUGGCACAGCGACUUCUUGUCUGGCAUUUCACAGAGAUUGCAUACAUGGGAGCUAAGCCUCAGCACCUUCAAAGUUGAUACUUCACCCAAUCCUGCACCACCUCCUGAGGGCCCGCUAUGUGUCAGGCCAUGUGGAGGACACCCAAUGACCUCAUCUUUUAGAUGAGAAAGUCAUGGUUCCCAUCCCUGAGACAUUCAUCUUCAGCCUAGGGAGGGAAUAGACGUGUCAGUAGAUGAUUGCGUUAUGAUGUGUUAAGCCUAAUGCUCCAUUUUAUAGAUCGACAAACUGAGAACCUGAGAAGUCUGCAGUCUCAUCUCUAGUGAACAAUUCUAGCUCAAAGCUGGGAAACUACGGCUGAGAUCAGAGACCUGAGUUCCAGCUUUGCUGUUACUUAGCUCUGCGACCCUCAGCAAGUCCCUGUCCAACUCUGGACCAUAGUUCUCGCCUCUGUAAAUUACGGGGUAGGGCUGGAAUAUUUCAAAGGCCCCCUUCAGCUCCAAGGCUCUGGAACUUUUCAUGGUAAAGUAUUUAAACAGCCUCUUUCCUCCCUCUUAUUUGCCUGUAAGCUCCUCUGGGAGCCGGGGCCUGUAGGAAUUUCCAGCUCUGCCUGGAUUCUGCCAUAGGUUCUCUAAUUCCACUCCCUGGGAACCCAUGCCAGGGAUAAUUCUCCCAGGCAGGAAUUCCUCUCGUGGAGCUAACCCAUGUCCCUGUUGCUGCAGUUUCCAUUAAUUUCCUUUGACCUGUCUUUGGGCGAAGCUCAUGAUUGCUGAUAAUUCUAGUUAAUCCCUUAACUAGAAAAAGGAAACUAACCAUCUAAUAGGCAGAACGAGGGAAUGACUUGGCACGCCAUCUGCAAAAUGUAAACCUAAAAUAUUCCAGAGUGUUCUCUGGGAGGCCACAGCCAUUAACGCCCGAGAUCCAGCUACUGCAAGGCCUCAUCUCCUAGCGGUGGGCACAAUUCUGAGCCGAGCCAGGAGCGGGCACAGGCAUCUGCAGCCCCCACUGUUUUUCCCUCUCUGCAUGCUUGUGGCAUAAUCAUUUUACUCACUAAAGCAGAACAGCUCCAACCCCAUAAAGGGCUUUCUGACAUCUCUCUGAGCAGCCGGCCUUCCCCCAUUUCAGAAGAUGUCACGGUUUAUUAAUUCUUUGCAGAAGUAAUAAGAACUGGGUAUUGGCUUAAUUUGGGGCCAAUUUACUGUUAUGGUAGAAAAAUUGGCUCUGUCUCCUUUUAUCCAACACAAAGUCCUAUAGUUCCUCUCUUAACCCCUCCUGUGCGGGGCUCUCCCCCCACCUGCUUCUAACUGUGUGACCUUGGGCCUCUCUGUGCCUCAGUUUCUUUAAUGUAAAAUUGAGAUAACCAUAGUACAUAUUUCAUAGGAUUUUUUUGAGUGAAUAUUAAGUUAUUGAGUUAUUUUAGGAUCUCUCUCUACCAAAGACUUUAAAUUGACACAUUAUUUUUAAAAAUCUGAAAAUUUCACGUAAAAAUCCAGAUUUUUAGCUUCUCAUGAACAAUUGGAAACCACGACAACUCUAUGUGCACAUUCUCAUGCAGAGCAACUGUCUGGUGCUGAGUAGAGGUGACUCCCUUUAAAUAGGAUGCCCUGCCCUGCCCAGGUCCCCAGGCCCCCCUCCCCCCCGUCCCAUCCUUCAUGGGGUCGGGGUCUUUCUUCAUGUCCUCUCUGGCCCUGAGGCCUGGAGUCUGCGGUCUGGGUUCCUGUGACUCCCAGACUGGGCCAGGCAGAGAGCCACAUAAUUAGCCCUCUUUAACACCAAGAGCUCUCAGAAAUGACCUUCUGGCUUUGCCUGUACCAAUGGUGGCAGGCAGCUGUGUUCACUGGGGAAGAAAAUCCAAACAAAACAAAUGGAAUCUCUCCUGGGGACAAUCUACCUUUGUGGACUGAAGAUGGAAUUGUAAUUUGGAGACAGAAAAAAAGAAAGGAAUACUACUAAAUGGUAACAUUACUCCCAUUUUCUCAUCAUAAUACCAUCGCUGAGUCCAACCAGACAGGAGCUUUAUGUACAUCAUUUAAGCCGCACAGUAAUGCCAACUAGGUAGUAUGACUGUUCCUAUUUUACAGAUGAGGAAGGUGAGGCUCAGAGACGCUGAGUAACUUGUACAAGGUCACAUAAUUAGGAAGUGGUGGAGGCAGGACAUGGACUGGACGAAUGUUCUUGCAGCCCUGGAAGAACUUCCCAGGCACUUGGCAUCCCUGCUGGCACCUGUGAGCUGAGCCGGCAGAGCAGGAGAAUGCCCGCCCUGGGGAGAGGAUGGUGGAAACACAGGGAGGAUGAUGGGAACGCUCUCUGGCCCAGGGAACAUCUGGAGCAGGAGUUCUGAGCCAGGACCGACCUGCCCCCAGGUCAUGUUUGCCAAUGGCUGGAGAUAUUUUUGGUCGUCACAACUGGGGAUGAGGGUUGCUACUGGUGUCUAAUGCGUAGAGGCCAGGGAUGCUGCUAGACAUCCUACAGGGCACAGGAUGGUCCCUCGACAAAGAAUUAUCAGUGCAAAAUGUCAACAGUCCUGAGGGUGAGAAAGCCUGCCCCCAAACCUCUUUCAAGUUUAAGAGUCUGAUUCUACGAAGGUUUGAGAGUCACCAGAAACCCCUCUGCCUUGAGACAGCACCUGUAAUCAUCUCGUCACGGCCUGAGCCCCGAGGCUCCCAUGAAAGGUGUACAUUAUCAGGAGGAGGAUUUAUGAACAAAGAGAGAAUGUCACACCUCAGAGGGAACUUAAAGAUCAUCUAAGCAAAUCCCUCAGUUGUACUGAUGAGGAAACAAGCCCAGAGGAGAAAUGGCCUUGCAAAGAUUUUCAGUUAACUCAACUAACAAGUCUGAAUCCUCAUUCCCAAGGAACUGAAACGUAGGCAUCAGAUGCGAUCCAGUCAAGGCGUAGGCAUCAUUUCCAUAGGAAUUCAGGGUACAGAUUCACCUCCACUGGCCUUUGGCUUCUCCAUCUGUAACAGGAGGUGGAAGAGGAGGCGGCACAGGCCUGGGAAACUUCUAGGUCAGCUGGCACCUAAUCCAAGGCGGUGGUUCUCACUCUUCAGCGGACAUCAGCGUCCCCUGGAGGGUUUGUUAAAACACAGAUUGCUGGGCCCCAUCCCUGAAGUUCCCAAUCUAGUAGGUCUGGAUUGGGGCCCGAGACCCUGAAUUUCUAGCAAGUUCCCAGGUGAUGCUGAUGCUGCUGGUCUGGGAACCACACUUUGAGAACCACUGCUCCAGGAGGAGAGGUAAAUUUGAGAGAUAUUUAUCACUGGGGAGCGUAUGAAACAUCGCUUCAGGUUGGGUAGCUACAAGUUAGUGGGGGAAACCAGAAGACCUUCACCCCCACAAUAACCCUCACAUUUUGGCCUAGAAUGGGUCUGUACCUCCAAAACUGGCAUAGUGAGGUCCAAACUCCUGUUCCUGGGAAGGCCACUCUGCCUCUUGGGGAGGGUCACCAUAUAUUUGUCUUCCAAACUGGGUCACAUUUAAGCAUGAAGGAGGCAGAGUCAAUAGUUAGGUGGGGACAAAAGGCAUAUACUGAGCUUGUCUACGGCAAAUGGAGCCAUGGGAGGUCAACUGGGCAGCUAGGCCUCUGGGAAAAUAGCUGGGCCCACACGGAGCCUUAAAUUUCCCUCAAAAGCCUUUUGAUGUGGCCAAGCUGUUUCCACUGAGAUCAGAGGACGGGAGGGGUAAUGCUGGCUACCCCAAAGCUUUUCAGGGAGGCCUCCAAAAUAUGCAGAAUAGAAGCCAGGAGAGCCUUGAACCAGGCCACCUGCGGCCCCGGGGUGGGCUGGUCUGCACCUUGGAGGCCAGCUGGGGCCGCUGCUCCACACACUGGGGCAGCUGUGCCGCCAGAGCCAGCCUCACCUGCAGGCGGCUGCCUGGGACGUCCUCGCCGUCAAGACUGGAAAAGCCUUGGAGAUUUACACAGGGUGCAUGUGGGGGCCUACCCUAAUGUGCAAAAGAAGAAUCCACGGUCCUGAGAGAGGCAGAGAGGCGCUGCAAGUCGCCCUUGAGCAGCGGAGGGGCCUGAGCCAGGUUUCCAGGUCAGAGAUCUUUCCGCUCACAUUGAUAUUCAGAUAUAUUGACUGGGCAGGUGUGUACACUCAAAAGGACACUCUGCUAACUGUUAGAGGGCAUGAUAUCAGCUCAAAGCAGGCAUCUCUUAUUUCUCAUCCAGGUACAGAAAACUGGGGCAUGAUGUCUAAUUGAAAUUCUGUAGCCUAUAAUUCAGCAAAGACUCGUGUGUGGUAGGUGGGCACCCCUCCUCCUCUGCCUUCAUAUUUCCUUCAAAUUGGGAGUGUUUUGGGUCUUUUUCAUAUUGGUUAUCACUUCCUUCAUUCUGCAUAGUGGGAUGGAGAGAGCAAGGAGGGCCAGGGGAGGCCCACCCCUCACCUUCUGGAAAGGCCGAGUGUUCUGGACCCAGACCAGGCUCACAGCAGGAAAGCCAGCUGUGCUACCCAGGUGACCAGCACAGACAAGCUAGGGCGUCAUUGGGGUGAGUGAGCCGUAGGCUUGGUCGGCACGUGACGGGGCAUGGGGGACUCCAAGACAGACUAGGGCAAGAGGUGGUUUGGAUCACAGGACCACACAGCUGGAGGGAAACUUGGGAACCCUGUAGGCCAACCCCUUGUGAUGCAGAUGGGGAAACUGAGGCUCAGAGAGGGGAAGAGAUUUACCCAAAGUCACCUGGAGAGUUACACAGCCAAGACUGCCAUCUUCCUCUCCUGCCUCCUGGCCUGGGGCUCUUUCUUCCACAUUUCAUUGGCCAGGCAGGAAUUUGGGGUGGGCCUUUAGGUGUCCCGCAUGCUCUGGAGGUAGAAGGCAUAAAGAAAUCCAUGGCUUUGUUUUAAGCUGUGCGGUGUUGGUCAGGGAGAGUGAUGUGUCCAUCUCUGUGUCACCACAAGAUGAUGUGGUGCCGGACACCUGCGAGCUGGUCAGUAAAUGCUUGUUAAUUGAACUGUGUAACAGCGAUGCUUCUAAAAGUUUGUCUAAACGGAGUUUUCACGACUCUAACUUACCUUAUAAUGCACUUGAGUGCAAGGAAGGGAAGAGAGAUAGAGGUCUUAUGUGUCCUAAAUGUGAAUCUUCUUUUAAAAACAUUUUAUUAUUUCAUGCGUUACACAAGUAAAGUAUGUUUAUUGUAGGAAAAAAUAAGCAAAAAAAGUUUUCUUUUUAACAUUUUAACAAUGAUGUGGUGCAACCAUGGACCUGAGGAGAAUGUGCUUUGGGCUGGCAUUUUUUGGAACACUCAGCUCUCUUUCUGUAGCACCAGACCUCACUUCUGUGUUCUGAUCCCCACUCUUUAUGUACUCGGCAUUACCAUCUUUGAAGAAAGGAGCCCUGUGAACAAACCAGGACCCAGCAUUUAAUCUUGUCCCCUCGACAAGCACAGCUCAGGGUAGGGCUGCAGUGUGCCAGUUUCUUUUUCUUUUUUUUUUAGCUCAAAUGUAUGUUCCCAUUUUCUUGAAGAGUGAAACCAAUGUGUCAUGGGAGACCACUCCACGCCCGGCAUGCUCACAGACAUUGCCUAACUUGAUCCUCACCAGCACUCUCUACCAAAUGAAAUCAAGGGCUUAAAAGAACUAAGCAGGUGGGCUGGAGUGGAGAGUGCUCCCAAACCACCCCAGAUGUUGGCAGUCGCUCCCAGGGCUCCAUCCUAUGUCAAGGGCAUUGGGGCCACAGCAGUCGGAGCAACUUCCAUGUAAUUGUCACAUUAAUGAGCAGUCUUGAAAUGACAAAACAAAACGUCACCCACCCCUUGUAAGCAGCGACUCUAGGUGCGAUGCUGACACAGGCUGACCCAACACAGGAGAGAGCCUGGAGAAGUGGGUCGAAGGACCGGAUUUACCAGUCUCCGGCAGUGUGACCAACUACAGGCCAUGCUGCCUUUCCUCAGCUGAGCUCUCCCUCUGCGACACGAGGAAAUAACCCGGCCUUACCCAUUCUGUUCUCUGGGACAGUGUGGGACCCAAGGUAAUGACAGUUGAACUGUGCUGUGGAGGGAGAACACUACUUAAGAGUGUUUUCUUUCCCUGUGAGCAAGAACUUGACUUAGCUCACAUUGUUCUAGGACAGAUGGCUUUUUCUUCCCUUCCUUCACCUCCUGUAUCUCGCUUGUGUGAGAAACUUGUGUUUCUCCCCCUGGUGCCAGCAUCACUGGCUCCUUAGGAGCCCCCUUCGUGGCUCCCCAGCUGCUAAUGUUCACUUCUGUAGAAAAUGAUAGGUGACAAGUUGCUCCCAGAGAUACCCACAAUCAGAUAAGCCAGGAAGGGAAACGAAUUCUUCUGGAAGAGAUACAGACUGUACUUUGGAAAUUAAAUACUCCUUCGAGGAGAGAAGGAAACUUCAGAUUCCAGCCCCGUUUCCAAGGAAGGCUCACCAGAGAGACUGCGGCAUCCCUGGGGAGGGCUGGGAUGGAUGGAAGCCUUGCUCCUGACAUCUGCAACUGUCAUCUGAGGCCAGGGUCUGGGCUCAGUGUCCACCCCCUGCCCCAACACAGGCGACAGGUCAAAUCCGCCUUCCCUUCUCUCCAUGUGGGUGCCCCAGCCUCCUUCCACUCACUCAACAAUCAGAGUGCCUUGAGCUUUCCAAUCUGGUAUCUUGACGUUUACUCCAAGUGGGGAUGUGAGAGGCAGCCUGCUAUCCCCAUUCCCAAUGUAGGGAAACUGAGGCACAGAAGGGUGAGCCCUUGCGUGAGUACCACUACGAACAGAGCUCCAAAUGUACUCUUCUUUUCCCAUCCUGCCUUGCACACAUGCACAUACACACACACGCACACGCACACACACUGAGUUUUACAGCUCUCUAAAAUUUAUGGGGAAAGUCGAGUACCCGGAGAUCUCUUAAUUAAGUGGCUUUCCCCUAGGAGAAAGGAAAUGGGCUUCCAUAUUCUUAGCACCGACAUCGGAUUGCAUGAUUUACUACCCAACGCCUGUGUUUCUCCCCAAAUCAGCUCCUCUAUAGUACAAACAUCUAUCACUUUGAAGGUGGUUCAAACGCCACCUUCCCCUCCUCCUCCCCUCUUCCUGAUGCCCUCCAGGCCUCAGCAUUUCCUCUGAUCUGUCCCCUUACCCCAGAGGUUGAGGGUCAGGCCGGAGCCCUGAACAGACAGCCUCCUGUAGCCGGCCCGGGAGAGAGGGGAAGCCUCGUGCCCAGAGCUGGCACCUAGGGCUGCCCUCACUCCUGUGGGAACAGGGGGCUGCUGCCCGGUCCCUCCUCACAGUACCCACUAUGACUGCUGACGGCUGCCAUGAAGAUAUAUGGGUUUAAUCAGGCCCCUGACAGGUAAAGACCCUAACAACGAGGACAGUUUGUUCUCCCAAACUGUUGAGUAUCUAAGGCCAGUGUUUACUUUGGAAUUGAAUGAAUAACAUUGUUCUGGGAAAGGAAAUUAAAAAAAGCAGGCUUGUAAUUUACAGUAGAGAGGAGAACAGAUCUGGAGGUCUUGUCACCCCCCCCUCCCAGGCCCAGGCCCCCCUCCUGCAAACCCUCGCUCUGUCUUUUUGCUGUUUUAACUUCUAAACACACCACAACCAACCAGCUCAUCUUCUCAGCCCUGCCAGGAAAGGUCUUAACAUUGCCAGGCUCCCAGAGCUGCCAAGAGAACUCAUAGCUUCAAGGCAAAGGUUUUUUUUCCCCCUUUUGAAAAUCAAAACCAAAUGCCACUGAAAUUCCAAAUGUUGUGAGACCCAUUCAGAAUGCAGAGCGAAGGGCGAAGGUCAGGAGUGGGCUGGAGGCUCACCGGCUCUCCCCACCCCCAGGUCAGGAGAGAGUGACCUGUUAUCAAAAAUGAGGGGGUAGCCCACCAAACCCCUGCAAGCCAAACCUUGCCAAAUGCACCCCUCUCCUGGGGUUGAGGAAUCCCGUUACUGAGGAAGGCUGAUUUAUUUCUAAAUUCUUGAGGUGGGAGCAAGGGAUGGUUCCUUUGUACCCAGCAUCUUGAUGUGCACCCAGGGACUUGCUUUGAAGAGAGCCCAGCACAAGCCGCUCUCGCCUGUGCUAAGACGUGGGGUGGUGGUUGGCAGCAGUGGACCUCCUGGUCAGCCAGGGGGUGCUCGAGACCAGCCUGUUUCCUUCCAGCCGAAGUCCCGUUUCCAAAGGAAGCAUGCCUCUGACUGAUAGAGCGCUCAGAGCCCGAGAAUUCCGAGUGCUCUCCUCCGCCUCCCUCCACGGAGGCGCCCCCAAAUGUAAGACAGGAGGAAGGGGUUUGAUCACACAGGCUGCUGAGCUGGGGGUCCUCCAGAAGGACCCCCACCCCCACCCCGCCCCGGCCCCCGAGUCUGGCCAUACGCUGGAGCGGGCCCUCAAACUCCUGAGCUGGCCUCGGGCAGGGACAUCGACCUCUCUUGUCCUCCAGAAACCAGGGUCUCGCUGCCCGCCCGCCCGCCACCUACCUCCGAUGCCUCGGAUUAGCUAAUUGGUGGGGGGAGACCACGUUGAACAUUUCAAGGCCUGGUCAGGGGCCAAGUCUCAUUACUUAACUUCAAAGUCAGAAACUCCAUAAAAAGUUCAUUGGUGGAGCUGAUUGUUCCAGAUUGUCCCAGCGGAACUGAACCCACCACGGCACCCCGGGCCUCAUGUUUUAAUGUGGGGCAAGAACACGUGUGUGGUACUGGGCCGUGGGGGCGGGUGGAGGGGCAGCAGCCCCAGACCUGGUUUGCAUUUUCUUUUCUCUUUUCAAACAUUUAAAAAUGACAAAAGAACUAUAACCACAUUACACAGAAUUUGGAAAACAGAGAAGAGAAAAAGAAAAUAAUCCAGAAGCCCACACCUUAAUACAACAAUAAUA